GUGGCUGUAGCUCAGUGGUAGAGCACCAGGUUGUGGCCCUGGGGGCCGUGGGUUCAAUCCCCAUCAGCCACC
rnacentral:tRNA from 1 species